rnacentral:rRNA from 1 species
GGGUUGUGAGGUUAAGCGACUAAGCGUACACGGUGGAUGCCCUGGCAGUCAGAGGCGAUGAAGGACGUGCUAAUCUGCGAUAAGCGUCGGUAAGGUGAUAUGAACCGUUAUAACCGGCGAUUUCCGAAUGGGGAAACCCAGUGUGUUUCGACACACUAUCGUUAAGUGAAUACAUAGCUUAACGAAGCGAACCGGGGGAACUGAAACAUCUAAGUACCCCGAGGAAAAGAAAUCAACCGAGAUUCCCCCAGUAGCGGCGAGCGAACGGGGAGGAGCCCAGAGUCUGAAUCAGCGCGUGUGUUAGUGGAACGGUCUGGAAAGUCCGGCGGUACAGGGUGAUAGCCCCGUACACUAAAAUGCACACGUUGUGAACUCGAAGAGUAGGGCGGGACACGUGGUAUCCUGUCUGAAUAUGGGGGGACCAUCCUCCAAGGCUAAAUACUCCUGACUGACCGAUAGUGAACCAGUACCGUGAGGGAAAGGCGAAAAGAACCCCGGCGAGGGGAGUGAAAAAGAACCUGAAACCGUGUACGUACAAGCAGUGGGAGCCUCUUUUAUGGGGUGACUGCGUACCUUUUGUAUAAUGGGUCAGCGACUUAUAUUCUGUAGCAAGGUUAACCGUAUAGGGGAGCCGCAGGGAAACCGAGUCUUAACUGGGCGUUAAGUUGCAGGGUAUAGACCCGAAACCCGGUGAUCUAGCCAUGGGCAGGUUGAAGGUUGGGUAACACUAACUGGAGGACCGAACCGACUAAUGUUGAAAAAUUAGCGGAUGACUUGUGGCUGGGGGUGAAAGGCCAAUCAAACCGGGAGAUAGCUGGUUCUCCCCGAAAGCUAUUUAGGUAGCGCCUCGUGAACUCAUCUUCGGGGGUAGAGCACUGUUUCGGCUAGGGGGUCAUCCCGACUUACCAACCCGAUGCAAACUACGAAUACCGAAGAAUGUUAUCACGGGAGACACACGGCGGGUGCUAACGUCCGUCGUGAAGAGGGAAACAACCCAGACCGCCAGCUAAGGUCCCAAAGUCAUGGUUAAGUGGGAAACGAUGUGGGAAGGCACAGACAGCCAGGAUGUUGGCUUAGAAGCAGCCAUCAUUUAAAGAAAGCGUAAUAGCUCACUGGUCGAGUCGGCCUGCGCGGAAGAUGUAACGGGGCUAAACCAUGCACCGAAGCUGCGGCAGCGACACUAUGUGUUGUUGGGUAGGGGAGCGUUCUGUAAGCCGUUGAAGGUGGCCUGUGAGGGUUGCUGGAGGUAUCAGAAGUGCGAAUGCUGACAUAAGUAACGAUAAAGCGGGUGAAAAGCCCGCUCGCCGGAAGA